rnacentral:tRNA from 1 species
GGGGAUUUAGCACAGUGGCACAGCACUCGCCUGGAAUGCGAGGUCCUGAGUUCAAUUCUCGGUAACCUCC